rnacentral:rRNA from 1 species
AACUGCGAGUGAAGCGGGAAAAGCUCAAAUUUAAAAUCUGGCGGUCUUUGGCCGUCCGAGUUGUAAUUUAGAGAAGCGUCUUCCGCGCCGGUCCGUGCACAAGUCUCCUGGAAUGGAGCGUCAUAGAGGGUGAGAAUCCCGUCUUUGGCACGGAUGCCUGGUGCUUCUGUGAUGCGCUCUCGAAGAGUCGAGUUGUUUGGGAAUGCAGCUCAAAAUGGGUGGUGAACUCCAUCUAAAGCUAAAUAUUGGCGAGAGACCGAUAGCGAACAAGUACCGUGAGGGAAAGAUGAAAAGCACUUUGGAAAGAGAGUGAAACAGUACGUGAAAUUGUUGAAAGGGAAACGCUUGAAGUCAGUCGCGUCGACCGAGACUCAGCCUUGCCUUGGCUUGGUGUACUUCUCGGCACGACGGGUCAGCAUCAAUUUUGCCCCUCGGAUAAUGGCAAGGGAAAGGUGGCACCUUCACGGGUGUGUUAUAGUCUCCUGUCGCAUGCAAGGGGUGGGAUUGAGGAACUCAGCGCGCACCUUGGUGUCGGGGCUUCG